CUCUGGAAGAUUACCAGAAAUCGGUGGACUCCAAAAGACCCGAAACUUCACGAAGAAUUCUGAUGGAAUAUACAAGAAUUAUUGGGCCAAAAAAUAUACCAAAGGGGGCCACAAGCCAAUAUGGCGCGCUGUAAGUGCAUCGAGUGCCCCUUAGUGAUUUUGGUGGUUUGAAGACUUAUAGGUUAAGUAUCUAAUGUGUUUAUG
rnacentral:lncRNA from 1 species